rnacentral:rRNA from 1 species
AUUGAACGCUGGCGGCAUGCCUUACACAUGCAAGUCGAACGGCAGCACGGGAGCAAUCCUGGUGGCGAGUGGCGAACGGGUGAGUAAAGUAUCGGAACGUGCCCAGUCGUGGGGGAUAACGUAGCGAAAGUUACGCUAAUACCGCAUACGAUCUAUGGAUGAAAGCGGGGGAUCGCAAGACCUCGCGCGAUUGGAGCGGCCGAUAACAGGUUAGGUAGUUGGUGGGGUAAAGGCUAACUAAGCCGACGAUCUGUAGCUGGUCUGAGAGGACGACCAGCCAAACUGGGACUGAGACACGGCCCAGACUCCUACGGGAGGCAGCAGUGGGGAAUUUUGGACAAUGGGCGAAAGCCUGAUCCAGCCAUGCCGCGUGCAGGAUGAAGGCCUUCGGGUUGUAAACUGCUUUUGUACGGAACGAAAAGGUUUGGCCUAAUAAGCUGAGCUCAUGACGGUACCGUAAGAAUAAGCACCGGCUAACUACGUGCCAGCCGCCGCCGUAA